rnacentral:rRNA from 1 species
GAUGAACGCUGGCGGCGUGCCUAAUACAUGCAAGUCGAGCGAACGGACGAGAAGCUUGCUUCUCUGAUGUUAGCGGCGGACGGGUGAGUAACACGUGGAUAACCUACCUAUAAGACUGGGAUAACUUCGGGAAACCGGAGCUAAUACCGGAUAAUAUUUUGAACCGCAUGGUUCACAAGUGAAAGACGGUCUUGCUGUCACUUAUAGAUGGAUCCGCGCUUCAUUAGCUAGUUGGUAAGGUAACGGCUUACCAAGGCAACGAUGCAUAGCCGACCUGAGAGGGUGAUCGGCCACACUGGAACUGAGGCACGGUCCAGACUCCGACGGUAGGCAGCAGUAGGGAAUCGUCCGCAAAGGGCGAGAGCCUAACGGAGCAACGCCGCGUGAGGGAUGAAGGUCUUCGGAUCGUAAAACUCUGUUAUUAGGGAAGAACAUAUGUGUAAGUAACUGUGCACAUCUUGACGGUACCUAAUCAGAAAGCCACGGCUAACUACGUG